rnacentral:rRNA from 1 species
CAGUCGCCGUGGGAAUACGUAGGGUGCGAGCGUUAAUCGGAAUUACUGGGCGUAAAGCGUGCGCAGGCGGUUGUGUAAGACAGGUGUGAAAUCCCCGGGCUUAACCUGGGAACUGCGCUUGUGACUGCACAGCUAGAGUAUGGCAGAGGGGGGUGGAAUUCCACGUGUAGCAGUGAAAUGCGUAGAGAUGUGGAGGAACACCGAUGGCGAAGGCAGCCCCCUGGGCCAAUACUGACGCUCAUGCGCGAAAGCGUGGGGAGCAAACAGGAUUAGAUACCCCUGUAGCCCUGUCUCUUAUACA